rnacentral:rRNA from 1 species
UACGUAGGGUGCAAGCGUUAAUCGGAAUUACUGGGCGUAAAGCGUGCGCAGGCGGCUAUGCAAGACAGAUGUGAAAUCCCCGGGCUCAACCUGGGAACUGCAUUUGUGACUGCAUGGCUAGAGUACGGCAGAGGGGGAUGGAAUUCCGCGUGUAGCAGUGAAAUGCGUAGAUAUGCGGAGGAACACCGAUGGCGAGGCAAUCCCCUGGGCCUGUACUGACGCUCAUGCACGAAAGCGUGGGGAGCAAACAGG